CUACGGGUGGCAGCAGUGAGGAAUAUUGCACAAUGGGGGGAACCCUGAUGCAGCAACGCCGCGUGGAGGAUGACGCAUUUCGGUGUGUAAACUCCUUUUAUAUGUCAAGAAAAUGACGGUAGCAUAUGAAUAAGCACCGGCUAACUCCGUGCCAGCAGCCGCGGUAAUACGGAGGGUGCAAGCGUUACUCGGAAUCACUGGGCGUAAAGGACGCGUAGGCGGGUUGGAAAGUCAGGUGUGAAAUCCUACAGCUUAACUGUAGAACUGCACUUGAAACUUCUAAUCUAGAGUAUGGGAGGGGGAGAUGGAAUUAGUGGUGUAGGGGUGAAAUCCGUAGAUAUCACUAGGAAUACCUAAAGCGAAGGCGAUCUCCUGGAACAUUACUGACGCUAAGGCGUGAAAGCGUGGGGAGCAAACAGGAUUAGAUACCCUAGUAGUC
rnacentral:rRNA from 1 species